AUGUGAUUGUUUAUUAUUUCACUUAUACUUUUAGUUUUGGGUAUUUUAGGCUUAUGACCUUUCAGAGUUGUGUAUCUUUUGACUGGUAAAAAGCGACUAGAACAAACGUCAUCAAAAGAGAGAGAGGCGUCACUCGUCCUCUGACUCAACCCUGUUUCGUUUUCAGACUGAGAAGUCUGAAAUAUUAUAAUAUUAUAUUAUAAAAAGUUUAUAUUAUAAAAGUCUAAUCCUAUUAACGAGUGUGUGUGUGAGAGUAGUUCUACAGUCAUCUAAUGUAAAAGUAAAAGUGAAAGUAUCAGGCUUUUUUGAUUUAAAACAAAGUGCAUUUUUGAGUGCAUAUUAUCCCCUAAACUCGUCAAAAAUUGAAUAAAUAAAAAUGAUGAAACCGUUAACGUGGUUUAAUAUACGAAGAUUGCAAACGCAACACAAAACAUGUUAUGAUACUGUAUAUUAGAGCUGUACCCUAUAUAAAUAUGCUGACUCACUGGAAAAUACACUGAGGUUGUUGGGAAUUCUGGCUGAAAUCUACUGAUAAACACGAGAAUCAUUCGAACUGAUGAAUAUUGUAGAACUCUGCUGCUUUGCACUCCCACACAGGUUUUUCGUGAUAUAUUUGAUGUGUCUCGUCUUCAGAGAUGUCCGAGAGCAGUUUAGGAAAGAAGGACAGGAAAAGCGCUGCGUCAAAAAUGACAAGAAGUGACAGCAAAGACAAUGUUGUCAACUUUUUGAGCCCGAGCCAAUCAGAGCUCAGUGUUCAAGGAGAUCUUGUGGCCAGCGACGUGAUCUUCAUGAGAGGAACGAUCAGAUCAGAUCUGAGAGAAGUGCCACAGAAACACGCCUGAAUGCUCCGUCAGAUCCGACUCAAACCACACCAGGACUUUAUCACACUGAACCAAUCAGGGGCGACAUUUCAGUUUCACAGAUUCGUGAGUCAUGAUUUUUGUGUUAAAGCCUGUCGACUAGAAUUGCGUUCUGAUGUAAAUGAGAAGUUUAGUUUGUUUCAUAAUAGAAAGAGUGCUGUGGUGUUUCUGACGAAUGACGUUCUGUUUGUUUUUACUACUUUUCACUUGAAACAGCUUCCUGUGAGCUGAAAGAUUCAUUUAUCUAUGAACCAUUCCUCAAUAGUCUGCUGUAUUUGAUUGUAUUCAUAUAUCAUUUGUUUCAUGUAUGUUCUUAAUUGUUGGUCCUUUUUGUUGCACUGUUGAAUGGGAAAAUAAAAUAAAGCAUUUCCAACACAAGCUUA